CACAUCGGCAUGUCUCAGCCUGCGGUGAGCAACACCAUCCACGAGGUGACAGAGGCGAUCACCACCGUGGCUGCUAGGAAAAGGGUGGUGGACUUCCCACUGACCACAGUUGCCAAGGAUGAGGCUAAGGUGGAGUUUGCGUGACGUGGUUGCAUCUUAGGCGUGCUGGCGUGUGUCGACGGCAUGUUGGUCGCCAUUCGCAAGCCAGAGGGAUACAGCCUGGCUGACACGGCGAUCUUCAUGUCCAGAAAGAGCUAUUAUGCCCUGAACGUCAUGAUUUCAUUGCAGGUGUGCAACGUGCGGCUGCGCAUCCUUGUCGUCGACCCACGAUUCCCAGGUUCGUGCCACGACUCUUCUGUUUGAGAACACAACCUUCUGCGUGCACGCCUAGCUGCACAGCUGCAACCUGGCGAAUAUCUGCUUAGAGACGCAGGGUAUCCCCUUGAGCCGUGGCUCCCCAUUCCACUUCCUGGCAGUCACCCAGGCAACACUUCCGAAGGCCGAUACAACAAGGAGCACGCAUCCAUGCGCAAUGUUGUGGAAAGAUGUAUCGGAGUGUUGAAGAGCAAGUUCCGCUGCUUGCAGCGCGUUCGAACGAUGCUCUACAACCCCGAUCGAGCAGUGCGAAUCAUUUAUGCUUGCGUUGCUCUCCACGACAUUGCAUUGGACGCGGGGACUGGACCUUAAAUGAGUAUGUUGGGGAAAUGCCACCAGCUGAGGAUGGCGAUGGGGAGCCAGGAGAGAGCCAUACGCUCACACCGCGCAACAUGCUGCUCAGAGGACAGCAGCAGUGCAGCGCUGUUGUGGGCCUUUUUUGAAGUACACAGGAACGAGGGCCCUCAGCCAUGGCCCGGGCCAAGGAUUGGACCGCCUGCAGGAUGCUUUCCUGCACCGCUGCCGCCCACUCCUGUGCUGCUGCCAUAUGCCGUACUGAGGAAGCGAUGCGAAUGGCUGACCUUUUGAUCCCCCGCAGCACCUGCAAUGAAUCAUUAUGAUGAAAUUGUUUGCAUGAGCUGCUGAUGAACUCUCGACCAUCUCGGGGCUCGAAGCAGCUGCUGCCAAGAAUUGCAACGUGCACAACAAUUCUCCCUCAGUUGAAAACCCACUGGUCUGGUGGCAUCCUUUGAAAGUGUGAAGCUUCGUGUACAAGCUAUGCCCUCUUCGUUUGGAUCAACAAAAAUUUGCUGAAACUACUGUUCAUUCAUCUCCUCAAAUGCAUAUCUUAUCAUCAAACAGCUCUUUUCAGGCCUAACCAGCCUUUUGCCCGGCAGUUUAUCAUUGCAGAUGUCAGAUACCGUUCCCUCAAUACAAUGCUUAGUUCUUAUUUACGGCCCAAGUUGGUUUCAGUCAUCAUAACAGAGCAUGAAGAAUGUUCACGCCCUUUAUGUAAAAUGUAAACAAAGGGUCUAUUCACAUCAAGCAACUGCUCGUUCUGCUCGAGGCUCCGGUCGCACUGCGAAGAUACCCGACACAAGGUGUCGGCGCGCCGUGGCCUUUGUCGGUGGCGAGGCCCACAGGAGGCUGAGACACUGAAAACAUUCAGCAUUUUCGUCAACGCAUGCUGUGGUAGGCUUUAAGUGUAUGGCCAUGUUGUGGAUAAUUGGGAAACUUGAAUAACAUACGAGAGGUUAUUUUCUCUUAAAUACUUUGAUGAUCAGUAACUUACCCGGUGCAGCGGGCGGGCUUUCAGGGUCAUUUGGGGGGCCUUCAGUGGAAUACAGAUUAAAAGUUCACGAACUGGGGGCACAUACGUCCCAUAAUCAAUAAAACACUAAGUUCUCAGAUG
rnacentral:lncRNA from 1 species